rnacentral:tRNA from 1 species
GGCGCCUGCGUCGAGAGGCUCAGGAGGCCACCCUCUCAAGGUGGAGACCGUGGGUUCGACUCCCGCAGGCACCGCCA